ensembl:lncRNA
UGCAUCUUCUCUUUUACUUGAUGUUAAAAAGAAGUGUCAUUAAACUCAUUUCAUGUUUUUUCAGGAUUUAUCAGUGUGGCUAUUACUUGUUCAACUAUUAAUCUUCUGAGGACUCUUUGGCUACUUCCAUUUUUUCGAUGCUUUAAUCAUUUUUAUGGCACAGUCAAAGAAACCCUUGCAAUAUCACUUAUCAUAGUGGACUGGGUUGUUUUGUCUGUAAUUGCUGCUGUAGUGUUUGGACUGCAUGGCUGGCGAAUACAGAAUAACGCAUGGAUGGGUUACGCUGGAUUUUCACUGGUUGUAAAUAUCAUCUUUGUAGCCGCCAUCUUGUUUCUUUUUCUGUCUGAGAGUAAAUGGACUGCGUGUUGCUUUGAUUUGGCAUUCUUUUUUCGAUGUGCCCCAGAUUUCAUCAUUCUACUGAUACUUUUUACCACUCGUGAAGUGAUCGACACUAUUGGUAAUGUAGGACUAAUCCUUUUGAUUGUACUCGCCAUGUGCUGUAUCAUCCUGGCAUUCACUGUCAUGCAGUGUUAUGGAAAAAUGAGUGAAAUACCAGCACUGAUCAAAAAACUAUAUCCACUUGGAGCAGCAGUCCUGUGUAUUGUGAACUCUGUCACACUGGCAGUAGAACUUAUCAGUCAAGCAGGAGAAGGUGAACGCCCAGUGAAAGAUCUGCGACUGAUAAUCAUACCGUUUGAAAUGGCCUCUGUCAUCAUAUUUUGUUUUGUAUGGUGUUGCUCAUGUUCAACCAAUCAGAGGACAGUGCUGUAGGCAGAAGAAUAUGGGCAUCACUUUUAACCAGCGCAGAGGUACUGGAACACUGGACUCUUUAGCUGUCUGAUGGAUCUCACUGACCCCUUGAUGUAACUGAAGUUGUUGAUUCUUAUGUCAGGUUUGUUGGUGUUCUAUUUGGGCACUGUCGGUUUGAUCUGUGGGUCAAAAGCUCAUUGCUGUUUGAGUUUGGUGUUACUAAAAUUUAGCCUUCCAACUUAAUUGCAUCAAAUGCCAUGCAUCAAAUGUCAUGCAUCAAAAACUACCAAACAAUUUGUGUAAACAUUAUGGAUUUUUACAUAUUUGCUCAUUUUGACUAUUUAUGACACAAAAACUCUUGGGCUCAAUAUUUUAUAUUUUUCCACUUAAUGAUAUUUAUGUCAUUUUCUGAGCCAAAACAGUCAUUUUAGUUUUUUACUGAACAAUCUUCCUUCUGUUUGUGCCUUUGAAUGAAUGUUUUUGUUCAUUUUCCUUAAAGUCUGAUAUAUGCAAAUGAUAUUUGUUCUCAUCUCUCUUGUCCACUUUUUCAUUGUUAUUUAUUUGGUUUUCCCUGAAAGGGCCCCUUUAGUAUUUAAAGGUAAGGUACCCACAUAUAAUAUAUUACUGGCUAAUCAGUAAUGUACAACUUGUAACUCACUUCUUUAUCAUAGACAAUUCCGAUUUCAGUAGAAUGGUCACUGGAUGUCAGGGCAAGUGUCCAGCAUUCAGGAUGAAUGUCUUUGUACUUUCCUUUUAUGUUGGGGUUUGAAAUAAUAUUGAAAAGAGAAAAAUCAAGGUAUUAGAUUCAGUGUAUAACUGAAUCUAAUAAAAAAAUUAAAAAAAAAUUUUUGAACAAACUUUUGUGUUUUGUCUACAUAAGACUAACUGUGUUCAUGCUACUGAAGUGCUCAUCAGAAUGAUUUGGUCUGUUGUUAAAGAUGAGCUAAAAGGCUUUGGAGAAAAUGUCUGUUAUUUCUCAGCCUAGUAAAAUAUCAGUGAUGAUAUCAAUAUCCUUAUAGAGUGUAUAAACAUUUAAGCAACAUUGAGUGUGUUUACAUGCACUCAAUAAUCCGAUCAUAAUUGGAUUUCUGCAGUUAUCUGAUUAUUCAAAUUGUCAUGUAAACACCAUACUCUGAUCUAGAAAUCUGAUGAAGAGGCUGGAUUUUAGCUCAGUUAUCAGAUUUCUCAGUGUAUGAAACUCUUACUCUGAUUUCUUUUGGAUUUCUCAGUCUGCACAUGUGCGAAAAUAGACAGCAAUUACGUGUUAAUCGGAUUACUGACAAAAUCUGAUUUUCUGCAGUUAUCAGAUUCUUAAGUGCAUGUAAAUGCACUCAUUGGUGUGAUACUGUAGUGGCAUUCAUAUGUGCUCAUCUCCUAAUUACGAUAUUUCUUACAGGUCUUAAGGCAGCGACUGACAUAUUUCUCAUUCAUGUUCUACUACUAUGCAUGUCUGAGCCUUUAGAAGCUCCUCCAUAAUUUCCAGUUUCACUGCAGUGUACUUAUGAGGUAACACAUAGGCCAAAAAGCAUUAAUGAUCCAUUAAGAUGAUCAAACAGUAAACAAAAAAAGGAGGCAAAGGUUACUGAUCACACCUAAAGUAAUGACUAAUUCAGGCCAUUACCUUUUGUGUGAAGAUAAUAAAUUAAUUAAAGAAAAUAAAAAUUAUUAGGCAAUAAUUAAGCAGUUUUGAACUAUCGGAGCUUGAUAGACCUGCCCCUGUACACAGUGACGAGGAUGUUUAAGAGGAGCAAAACAAAGAAGUAAAUGCAGGUGUGGAAAUGAUGGCAUUCUGAAAAAUGUUUUUCAUUGAAUGAUUUUAUCACCUCAAAGAAAAUGACAGCUCUCUCAUUUUUCAGUCUUUUUUCCUCAUCUUUAUCAAGGGUGCUAAUAAUUUGGAAGGACACAGUGUCUGUAUUUCCUGGUACUAAGUAGCACCUGUAUAUAAAGACAGAUUUAACAUUUCUCUCAUCUCGUUUCACAGGAUCAUAACUACAUCACCCAUAAACAAGACCGUUUGUAUUAUGUAUAUAUACAGGUACAUGGACUGCUCUUCCACAUUAAUUCAAACUACAGUCCUACAGUAAAACUAUUUUAAAAAACAAUGAAGUAUUUAGACCUUAAAUAUAUACAAGGAUUAUGUUAUGUUCUAUUUAAACUCAAUGAAUUAGUUAGAUUUAGGUUUUAGUUUUUCAAUAUAAAAAAAACUAUUUAAAAAAAUGCUGUGGCACUUUUUCAUAGUUUACUGAAGCAGAGUUUUAGUCUAUGGGCAGAGCCUUAUUUUAGCCAUGUCCCUGCAUUUUAGAGCACAAAGUUAGACUGCAUCCCUGUCCCUCAUGACCACAUGGUGAGAAGUCAGAUCCUAUUGUUUUGAAGUAAAUGUGUC